CAGUAGCCGCGGUAAUACGGAGGGGGCUAGCGUUGUUCGGAAUUACUGGGCGUAAAGCGCACGUAGGCGGCUUGGUAAGUUAGAGGUGAAAGCCCGGAGCUCAACUCCGGAAUUGCCUUUAAGACUGCCGAGCUAGUAGGUGAGAGAGGUAAGUGGAAUUCCGAGUGUAGAGGUGAAAUUCGUAGAUAUUCGGAAGAACACCAGUGGCGAAGGCGGCUUACUGGCUCAUUCUAGACGCUGAGGUGCGAAAGCGUGGGGAGCAAACAGGAUUAGAGACCCGCGUAGUCCCUGUCUCUUAUAC
rnacentral:rRNA from 1 species